AACAAGUACCGUUCGAAUAGGGCGGUACCUUGACGGUACCUAACCAGAAAGCCACGGCUAACUACGUGCCAGCAGCCGCGGUAAUACGUAGGUGGCAAGCGUUGUCCGGAAUUAUUGGGCGUAAAGGGCUCGCAGGCGGUUUCUUAAGUCUGAUGUGAAAGCCCCCGGCUCAACCGGGGAGGGUCAUUGGAAACUGGGGAACUUGAGUGCAGAAGAGGAGAGUGGAAUUCCACGUGUAGCGGUGAAAUGCGUAGAGAUGUGGAGGAACACCAGUGGCGAAGGCGACUCUCUGGUCUGUAACUGACGCUGAGGAGCGAAAGCGUGGGGAGCGAACAGGAUUAGAUACCCUGGUAGUCCACGCCGUAAACGAUGAGUGCUAAGUGUUAGGGGGUUUCCGCCCCUUAGUGCUGCAGCUAACGCAUUAAGCACUCCGCCUGGGGAGUACGGUCGCAAGACUGAAACUCAAAGGAAUUGACGGGGGCCCGCACAAGCGGUGGAGCAUGUGGUUUAAUUCGAAGCAACGCGAAGAACCUUACCAGGUCUUGACAUCCUCUGACAAUCCUAGAGAUAGGACGUCCCCUUCGGGGGC
rnacentral:rRNA from 1 species